rnacentral:rRNA from 1 species
AUGGAGGGAGGGAUGGGGGGCGGAGGCGGGGGCGGGCAGCAGGAGCUGUCGGCGGACAACGUGCGCGGGAUAGUGCUCGCGCUCCUCUCCAGCGGCUUCAUCGGCUCCAGCUUCAUCAUCAAGAAGAAGGGCCUCCGCCGCGCCGCCGUCUCCUCCGGCAUCAGCGCCGGGGUGGGUGGGCACUCCUACCUCCUGGAGCCCCUAUGGUGGGUGGGCAUGAUCACCAUGAUCGUGGGAGAGAUCGCCAAUUUCGUGGCGUACGCCUUCGCACCGGCGGUGCUGGUUACUCCUCUGGGAGCACUGAGCAUAAUCGUCAGUGCAGUGCUGGCCCAUUUCAUCCUGAACGAGAGGCUGCACGCGCUGGGGGUCCUCGGCUGCGUGAUGUGCAUCGCGGGGUCCAUGGUGAUCGUCAUCCACGCGCCGCUGGAGCAGGAGAUCACGUCUGUCAAGGAGAUUUGGCACAUGGCAACACAACCAUCUUUCUUGCUAUAUGUUGCUUCGGUUAUAGUCCUGGUCUCUGUGCUGGUGUUCCAUUUCUCCCCUCUCUGGGGGCAGUCGAACGUCUUGAUCUACACGGCCAUUUGCUCUUUGAUGGGUUCUCUUUCGGUUAUGAGUGUUAAAGCUCUUGGUACAUCCUUGAAGUUGACUUUUGAGGGGACGAAUCAGUUAGCAUAUCCCGAGACGUGGUUCUUUAUGCUUGUCGUGGCUAUUUGUGUUCUGACACAGAUGAAUUACCUCAACAAGGCACUUGAUACAUUUAACACGGCAGUUGUAUCACCAAUUUAUUAUGUGAUGUUUACAUCAUUGACAAUACUCGCAAGCAUCAUAAUGUUUAAGGAUUGGUCUGGUCAGAGCCUUGGAAGCAUUACUUCUGAAAUAUGUGGCCUGAUUGUCGUGUUGUCUGGUACCAUCUUGUUGCAUGUCACCAAGGAUUACGAAAGGAUCCCGCAAUCGAGAAUAGGCCUUUACGCACCGUUGUCUCCCACGUCAGCAACAAGAUUGAACGGAGAACUACUGAGGCAUGUCGAAGAGGAUGUGAGGAGAACCGACGACGAAGAGAAAGUCUUGAGACGGCAGGAGAUGUACUAG